AGUCAAACACUCUGCCUGCACAGCUCACAUUAAACUCUUGCACUGUUUAGUAUCCUUCUAUACCGUUCGUUCAUACGAACGAUCCAAUCUCCUAGUUAGUGGUCUUUCACCGUUUACUGCUUCAUGUACAUUCGUACAGUAUAAGGGGUCUUUUCCCUUAGUUAUUCACUUAGUCUUUCGGUUAAAGCAGCAGAUCUAUGGUUAUCAUUCAUAAACUUUUCACAUGGCUGUAUGCUGCUGCAUGCUUUCACUUAACUUUGGUAAAAAAACAAGCAAU